AACGCACGAGACCUGCGGACCUGCGGAAGGAUCAUUACAAUUUUGGUACACCAAUUCGGUGUUAUCAAUUGAGAUACCAACCCAUGUCUUUUGAGUACUUCACGUUUCCUCGGCAGGCUCGCCUGCCAAUGGGGACUCUUCAAAACCUUUUAUGUAUGCAGUAAACGUCUAAAACAAAUGAAAUCAAAACUUUCAACAAUGGAUCUCU
rnacentral:misc_RNA from 1 species